UACGGAGGUGGCGAGCGUUGUCCGAAGUUACUGGGCGUAAAGCGCACGUAGGCGGUUCGUUAUGUCGGAUGUGAAAGCCCUUGGCUUAACCGAGGAAGUGCAUCCGAAACUGGCGAGCUAGAGUACGAAAGAGGAUCGCGGAAUUCCCGGUGUAGAGGUGAAAUUCGUAGAUAUCGGGAGGAACACCGGUGGCGAAGGCGGCGAUCUGGGUCGAUACUGACGCUGAGGUGCGAAAGCGUGGGGAGCAAACAGG
rnacentral:rRNA from 1 species